rnacentral:rRNA from 1 species
UAGGGAAUCUUCCGCAAUGGACGCAAGUCUGACGGAGCAACGCCGCGUGAGUGAAGAAGGAUUUCGGUUUGUAAAACUCUGUUGUUAGAGAAGAACAGCGCAUAGAGUAACUGUUAUGCGUGUGACGGUAUCUAACCAGAAAGCCACGGCUAACUACGUGCCAGCAGCCGCGGUAAUACGUAGGUGGCAAGCGUUGUCCGGAUUUAUUGGGCGUAAAGCGAGCGCAGGCGGUCAAUUAAGUCUGGUGUGAAAGCCCCCGGCUCAACCGGGGAGGGUCGUUGGAAACUGGUUGACUUGAGUGCAGAAGGGGAGGGUGGAAUUCCAUGUGUAGCGGUAAAAUGCGUAGGUAUAUGGAGGAACACCAGUGGCGAAGGCGACUCUCUGGUCUGUAACUGACGCUGAGGCUCGAAGGCGUGGGUAGCAAACAGG